ensembl:snRNA Gm23185 predicted gene, 23185
AAAACCAAACAUUGCAACAAUACAGAGAUUAGCAUGGCCCCUGCACAAGGAUGACAUGCAAGUUCGUGAGGCAUUCCAUAUUUGA